rnacentral:rRNA from 1 species
AGUGAACGCUGGCGGUAGGCCUAACACAUGCAAGUCGAACGGCAGCACAGUAAGAGCUUGCUCUUACGGGUGGCGAGUGGCGGACGGGUGAGGAAUACAUCGGAAUCUACUUUUUCGUGGGGGAUAACGUAGGGAAACUUACGCUAAUACCGCAUACGACCUACGGGUGAAAGCAGGGGAUCUUCGGACCUUGCGCGAUUGAAUGAGCCGAUGUCGGAUUAGCUAGUUGGCGGGGUAAAGGCGCACCAAGGCGACGAUCCGUAGCUGGUCUGAGAGGAUGAUCAGCCACACUGGAACUGAGACACGGCCCAGACUCCUACGGGAGGCAGCAGUGGGGAAUAUUGGACAAUGGGCGCAAGCCUGAUCCAGCCAUACCGCGUGGGUGAAGAAGGCCUUCGGGUUGUAAAGCCCUUUUGUUGGGAAAGAAAAGCAGCAGGUUAAUACCCCGCUGUUCUGACGGUACCCAAAGAAUAAGCACCGGCUAACUUCGUG